rnacentral:rRNA from 1 species
AUUGAACGCUGGCGGCAUGCUUUACACAUGCAAGUCGAACGGUAACAGGCCUUCGGGUGCUGACGAGUGGCGAACGGGUGAGUAAUGCAUCGGAACAUACCCAGUCGUGGGGGAUAACGUAGCGAAAGUUACGCUAAUACCGCAUACGUCCUGAGGGAGAAAGCGGGGGAUCGCAAGACCUCGCGCGAUUGGAGUGGCCGAUGUCAGAUUAGCUAGUUGGUGGGGUAAAGGCCCACCAAGGCGACGAUCUGUAGCGGGUCUGAGAGGAUGAUCCGCCACACUGGGACUGAGACACGGCCCAGACUCCUACGGGAGGCAGCAGUGGGGAAUUUUGGACAAUGGGGGAAACCCGUAGAUCCAGCCAUGCCGCGUGCGGGAAGAAGGCCUCG